rnacentral:rRNA from 1 species
UACGAAGGGUGCAAGCGUUACUCGGAAUUACUGGGCGUAAAGCGUGCGUAGGUGGUUUGUUAAGUCUGUUGUGAAAGCCCCGGGCUCAACCUGGGAAUGGCAAUGGAUACUGGAUGGCUUGAGGUUGGGAGAGGGAUGCGGAAUUCCAGGUGUAGCGGUGAAAUGCGUAGAUAUCUGGAGGAACACCGGUGGCGAAGGCGGCAUCCUGGACCAAUUCUGACGCUGAGGAGCGAAAGCCAGGGGAGCAAACGGG